rnacentral:rRNA from 1 species
GACGAACGCUGGCGGUGUGCUUCACACAUGCAAGUCGAACGAGGUAGCAAUACCUAGUGGCGGACGGGUGAGUAACGCGUGGGAAUCUGCCUUUAGAUGGGGGAUAACGGGUCGAAAGACUCGCUAAUACCGCAUAUGACGAAAGUUGAAAGGAGUAAUCCGUCUAAAGAUGAGCCCGCGUCCGAUUAGCUAGUUGGUAGAGUAAAGGCCUACCAAGGCGACGAUCGGUAGCUGGUCUGAGAGAAUGAUCAGCCACAAUGGGAACUAGAGACACGGCCCAUACUCCUACGGGAGGCAGCAGUGGGAAUUUACGCAAUGGGCGAAAGCCUGACGUAGCGACACCGCGUGAGCGAAGAAGCCCCUUGGGUGUAAAGCUCUGUCAGCUGGAACGAAAAAAAUGACGGUACCAGCAGAGGAAGCAUCGGCUAAACUACGUGCCAGCAGCCGCGGUAAU